rnacentral:rRNA from 1 species
UUCCGGUUGAUCCCGCCGGAGGCCAUUGCUAUCGGUGUCCGAUUUAGCCAUGCGAGUCGCACGUUCAACGUGGCGAACGGCUCAGUAACACGUGGUCAAACUACCCUACGGACCGUGAUAACCCUCGGGAAACUGAGGCUAAUAACGGAUGUCGCUCCCGAGCUGGGAUGCUGGGAGCGAUAAAGCUCCGGCGCCGUAGGAUGUGACUGCGGCCGAUUAGGUAGACGGUGGGGUAAUGGCCCACCGUGCCGAUAAUCGGUACGGGUUGUGAGAGCAAGAACCCGGAGACGGACUCUGAGACAAGAGUCCGGGCCCUACGGGGCGCAGCAGGCGCGAAACCUUUACACUGCACGCAAGUGCGAUAGGGGGACACCGAGUGCGAGGGCAUAGAGCCCUCGCUUUUGUGCAUCGUAAGGUGGUACACGAAUAAGGGCUGGGCAAGACCGGUGCCAGCCGCCGCGGUAACACCGGCAGCCCGAGUGAUGGCCGCUUUUAUUGGGCCUAAAGCGUCCGUAGCCGGCCGUUCAGGUCCGUCGGGAAAUCCACUGGCUCAACCAGUGGGCGUCCGGCGGAAACCGAUCGGCUUGGGACAGGGAGACCAGAGGGGUACGUCCGGGGUAGGAGUGAAAUCCUGUAAUCCUGGACGGACCACCGGUGGCGAAAGCGCCUCUGGAGAACUGAUCCGACGGUGAGGGACGAAAGCUGGGGUCUCGAACCGGAUUAGAUACCCGGGUAGUCCCAGCUGUAAACAAUGCUCGCUAGGUGUGUCGCAGGCUACGAGCCUGCGAUGUGCCGUAGGGAAGCCGAGAAGCGAGCCGCCUGGGAAGUACGUCCGCAAGGAUGAAACUUAAAGGAAUUGGCGGGGGAGCACUACAACCGGAGGAGCCUGCGGUUUAAUUGGAUUCAACGCCGG